rnacentral:rRNA from 1 species
GCACAAGCGGUGGAGCAUGUGGUUCAAUUCGACGCAACGCGAAGAACCUUACCUGGGCUCGAAGCGUAGUGGACCGAGGUAGAAAUAUCUUUUCCCCGCAAGGGGCUGCUACGUAGGUGCUGCAUGGCUGUCGUCAGCUCGUGUCGUGAGAUGUUGGGUUAAGUCCCGCAACGAGCGCAACCCUUAUUGCCAGUUGCCAUCAUUUAGUUGGGCACUCUGACGAAACCGCCUCGGAUAACGGGGAGGAAGGUGGGGAUGACGUCAAGUCCUCAUGGCCUUUAUGUCCAGGGCUACACACGUGCUACAAUGGCCGGUACAAACCGUCGCAAACCCGUGAGGGGGAGCUAAUCGGAAAAAGCCGGCCUCAGUUCGGAUCGUAGUCUGCAACUCGACUACGUGAAGCUGGAAUCGCUAGUAAUCGCGGAUCAGAACGCCGCGGUGAAUACGUUCCCGGGC